UGCGUAGGCGGGUCUUUAAGUCAGGGGUGAAAUCCUGGAGCUCAACUCCAGAACUGCCUUUGAUACUGAAGAUCUUGAGUUCGGGAGAGGUGAGUGGAACUGCGAGUGUAGAGGUGAAAUUCGUAGAUAUUCGCAAGAACACCAGUGGCGAAGGCGGCUCACUGGCCCGAUACUGACGCUGAGGCACGAAAGCGUGGGGAGCAAACAGGAUUAGGUACCCUGGUAGUCCACGCCGUAAACGAUGAAUGCCAGCCGUUAGUGGGUUUACUCACUAGUGGCGCAGCUAACGCUUUAAGCAUUCCGCCUGGGGAGUACGGUCGCAAGAUUAAA
rnacentral:rRNA from 1 species